GAUUCGUUUCGUUCCCCUUUCUUCUCGAAGCAAGUCAACUCAGUCGCUCCGUCGUUAAUGGUCUCCGCCAUUCCCAACCAAAUCUCCAUUAGCGUAAGGUUAAUCACGCGCACGAUGAACGCCAUCUUCGCUACGAUCCCGCGACCCCGCAGGCCGGGCGCCCUGAUCGCCUCCUGCUGCGCGCUAAUCCUCCUCGCCACCGUCGUCCUCCUCCCCCGCGCUCCUCUCGCGCCGCCGCUAACCACUAACGCCGCCGGCGCCGUCCGCCUCGACCCGCGCGUCGCGCGCAGGAGCGGCAACGAGGUGCUGUGGCAGCUGCCGCCGGGCCCGCGCCCGCCGCGCGCCGCCGUGUUCGUAGCCCCCGGCUGCACCAUCCGCGCCACCGACUUCUUCGACGCCUCCCCUGGCUGCCCGCACUGCGCGGGGCUCCCCGAGGAGCGCCGGUUCACGAGCGCCGCGCUCCGACGCAGCUACGCCGUCCUCGCGGUGUCCAGCCGCGCCCAGUGCUGGUCCCUCGACGCCGCCGGCGAAGACACUGAGCUCGCCGCCGUUGAGUCCAUCAUCAAAUGGUUGGUCAAUGAGGAGCACCCCGAGCUCCGCGGCCUCCCGCUCAUCGGCAUCGGCGCGUCGUCAGGCGGGUACUUCGUGUCCGCGCUGGCGGCGAGGGUCAGGUUUAGCAGCGUCACCAUCAUGAUUGCGGAGGGCGUGUUCGCCGCGAUGGAGGAGGUCCCUGCCGGGUACCCACCAGCGCUGUUCGUGCACAUGCCCAAGGACUCUGAGAGAGCAACCUUGGUGGUGGCAAGCAUAAGUAAGCUCAAAUCAAAGCAUGUUGAGGUGCGGGAGAUCCAAUGUGAUGCCUUUGCGGUGAGCGCCGAGUUCUUGGCAGCGAGGAUACCGGGAUUGACUCGGGCUGUCGCCGAUGGGCUUGUGGACGUGCUUCGACAGAAGUCAUUCCUAGAUGAGAAGGGUUUUCUGAAGAAUGAUGGGAGGAGCACGCCAUGGAAGGAGGCGGCAGAAGAGGCGGAAGCCUUGCCGAAGCAGUUCGGGUUUGACAGGCAUGUCACAGAAGAGCUGAAUCUUGCAUACGCAUACCAUGAAUUUACCAGCCAAAAGGAUGAAGAGAUCUUUGAAUGGUUUGAGUCCCAUAUGGAUCACAAGAUUUGAAGGAGCUUCCUCGCUACGGGACAUCAUGGGAUGGUGUGCUUGGAGUGCUUGGUGUAGUGCCAUAAGAUGGUGUUGGUGUAGUGCCGUAAGUUGGUGUUGGUGUGGUGCCGUAAGUUGGUGACGGUGUCGGUGUGGUGCCGUAAGUUGGUGUCGGUGUUGGUUUGUAACCUCCUGACCCGUGCGCUGGAGUUGGGGAGCCCCCAUCUGGUCUCUUUCCACAAGGAAUGGAGUUUCCAGUCCCAGAAGAUUUAAUUGCGAUCGGUGCUUGCCACCUACUCAGUGUACUGUGCAUCGAGCUGGAUUUCAUGCUCCCUCUCCAGAAUUGAAUUUGUCGAAUUCAAUGGAAACACUGAUGUGGUAUGCUUCUUUGGUUUCAUUGGAAUGCCGAGUCCUGGAUCCAAUGACUGUUUUGGAUUACUGAAAUAGUUUUGUGGUCCAAUUGCAUUGGAGUAGUUGUUCUGCACUGGAUUUAUUAUUUGUAACCCCAGAGCAGGUACUUCAGAUAACUUAUUUGUAACGGAUUUGCACUGCAAUUCUUAAUGUUGUGUAUUUCCAUUUUAGGUGACAGUUGUAGGUUCGAAGUCUUGCAUAUAUACUGCAGAUUUUGGCUCAAAAUUAUCUGUUUCAUGUUCCUUCUGAUUGCAUCAAUCUAGCGUUGGUGGCUUGGUGCAUACCCUGUACUGCUUCCCUGUAUUAACUACAGUAGAAGACUCUAAAACAGAAUGCCUCAGUCAA